rnacentral:rRNA from 1 species
AUUUAACGCUGGCGGCAUGCCUUACACAUGCAAGUCGAACCGCAGCACGGGAGCAAUCCUGGUGGCGAGUGGCGAACGGGUGAGUAAAGUAACGGAACGUACCCAGUCGCGGGGGAUAACGUAGCGAAAGUGACGCUAAUACCCCAUACGCCCCAUUGAUGAAAGCGGGGGACCGCAAGACCUCGCACGAUAGGAGCGGCCGAUAUCAGAUUAGCUAUUUGGUGGGGUAAAAGCACCCCAAGCCGACGAUCUGUAGCUGGUAUGAGAGGACGACCAGCCACACUGGGACUGAGAAACGGCCCAGACUCCUACGGGAGGCAGCAGUGGGGAAUUUUGGACAAUGGGCGAAAGCCUGAUCCAGCCAUGCCGCGUGCAGGAUGAAGGCCUUCGGGUUGUAAACUGCUUUUGUACGGAACGAAAAGGUUUGGCCUAAUAAGCUGAGCUCAUGACGGUACCGUAAGAAUAAGCACCGGCUAACUACGUGCCAGCCGCCGCUGUAA